AAAAAAUUAGAGUGUUUAAAGCAAGCUAACGCUUGAAUACAUUAGCAUGGAAUAAUGAAAUAGGACGUUCGAUCCUAUUUUAGUUUGGUUUCUAGGAUUGACGUAAUGAUUAAUAGGGAUAGUUGGGGGCAUUAGUAUUCAAUUGUCAGAGGUGAAAUUCUUGGAUUUAUUGAAGACUAACUACUGCGAAAGCAUUUGCCAAGGAUGUUUCAUUAAUCAAGAACGAAAGUUAGGGGGAUCGAAGACGAUCAGAUACCGUCGUAGUCUUAACCAUAAACUAUGCCGACUAGGGAUCGGAUGAUGUUAAUUUUUUAAUGACUCAUUCGGCGCCUUACG
rnacentral:rRNA from 1 species